AUUGAACGCUGGCGGCAGGCCUAACACAUGCAAGUCGAACGGUAGCACAGAGAGCUUACUCUCGGGUGACGAGUGGCGGACGGGUGAGUAACGUCUGGGAAACUGCCCGAUGGAGGGGGAUAACUACUGGAAACGGUAGCUAAUACCGCAUAACGUCGCAAGACCAAAGGGGGGGACCUUCGGGCCUCACACCAUCGGAUGUGCCCAGAUGGGAUUAGCUAGUAGGUGGGGUAAUGGCUCACCUAGGCGACGAUCCCUAGCUGGUCUGAGAGGAUGACCAGCCACACUGGAACUGAGACACGGUCCAGACUCCUACGGGAGGCAGCAGUGGGGAAUAUUGCACAAUGGGCGCAAGCCUGAUGCAGCCAUGCCGCGUGUAUGAAGAAGGCCUUCGGGUUGUAAAGUACUUUCAGCGGGGAGGAAGGCGGUGAAGUUAAUAGCUUCACCGAUUGACGUUACCCGCAGAAGAAGCACCGGCUAACUCCGUGCCAGCAGCCGCGGUAA
rnacentral:rRNA from 1 species